rnacentral:rRNA from 1 species
ACGAACGCUGGCGGCGUGCCUAACACAUGCAAGUCGAACGGAGUCAAGAAGCUCGCUUUUGACUUAGUGGCGGACGGGUGAGUAACGCGUGAGUAACCUGCCUCUGAGAGGGGAAUAACGUUCUGAAAGAACGCUAAUACCGCAUAAUGUAUCGAAGCCGCAUGACUUUGAUACCAAAGAUUUUAUCGCUCGGAGAUGGACUCGCGUCCGAUUAGUUAGUUGGUGAGGUAACGGCUCACCAAGACCGCGAUCGGUAGCCGGACUGAGAGGUUGAUCGGCCACAUUGGGACUGAGACACGGCCCAGACUCCUACGGGAGGCAGCAGUGGGGGAUAUUGCGCAAUGGGGGACAACCCUGAACCGCAGCAACGCCGCGUGAAGGAUGAAGGUUUUCGGAUUGUAAACUUCUUUUAUCAGGGACGAAGCUUGACGGUACCUGAUGAAUAAGCUCCGGCUAACUACGUGCCAGCCGCCGC